CAAUCCUGGCGGCGAGCGGCGGACGGGUGAGUAACGCUUGGGAAUCUGCCUAUCAGUGGGGGACAACCCGGGGAAACUCGGGCUAAUACCGCAUACGUUCUAUGGAAGAAAGCCGGGGACCGCAAGGCCUGGCGCUGAUAGAUGAGCCCAAGUCGGAUUAGCUAGUUGGUAGGGUAACGGCCUACCAAGGCUACGAUCCGUAACUGGUCUGAGAGGACGACCAGUCACACCGGAACUGAGACACGGUCCGGACUCCUACGGGAGGCAGCAGUGGGGAAUAUUGGACAAUGGGCGAAAGCCUGAUCCAGCGACGCCGCGUGGGUGAAGAAGGCCUGCGGGUUGUAAAGCCCUUUCAGUGGGGAAGAAAAGCCUCGACCUAAUACGUCGGGGUCUUGACGUAACCCAUAGAAGAAGCACCGGCUAACUCUGUGCCAGCAGCCGCGGUAAUACAGAGGGUGCGAGCGUUAAUCGGAAUUACUGGGCGUACAGCGCGCGUAGGCGGUUUUGCAAGUCGGGUGUGAAAUCCCCAGGCUCAACCUGGGAACUGCAUUCGAGACUGCAUGGCUAGAGUAUGGGAGAGGGAAGUGGAAUUUCAGGUGUAGCGGUGAAAUGCGUAGAUAUCUGAAGGAACAUCAGUGGCGAAAGCGACUUCCUGGACCAAUACUGACGCUCAUGUGC
rnacentral:rRNA from 1 species